rnacentral:rRNA from 1 species
UACGAAGGGUGCAAACGUUGCUCGGAAUCAUUGGGCGUAAAGCGCACGUAGGCGGCUUUGCAAGUCGGAUGUGAAAUCCCGUGGCUCAACCAUGGACGUGCAUUCGAAACUGCAAGCUUGAGUAUGGAAGAGGGUCGCGGAAUUCCCGGUGUAGAGGUGAAAUUCGUAGAUAUCGGGAGGAACACCAGUGGCGAAGGCGGCGACCUGGGCCAAUACUGACGCUGAGGUGCGAAAGCUAGGGGAGCAAACGGG